UCCCGUUGAUCCUGCGGGGGGCCACUGCUAUCCCCGUCCGACUAACCCAUGGGAGGCCAGGGACACUGGGUAAAGUGUCCCGCCGUACGGCUGAGUAACACGUCGGCAACCUACUCUCGGGAGGGCGAUAACCCCGGGAAACUGGGGAUAAACGCCCAUAGGAGAUAGGCGGUGGAAUUCCCCUAUCUCCGAAAAGGAUAAGGAGUAUUCCUCUCCUUAUCCGCCCGAGAAUGGGCCGGCGGCCUAUCAGGCAGUUGGCGGGGUAACGGCCCGCCAAGCCGAAGACGGGUAGGGGCCGUGAGAGCGGGAGCCCCCAGAUGGGCACUGAGACAAGGGCCCAGGCCCUACGGGGUGCACCAGUGGCGAAACCUCCGCAAUGGGUAUAAGCCUGACGGGGGGACGGGGAGUGCCUCGGGGUUUCCUCGAGGCUUUUCGGGAGUGUAAAAAGCUCCCGGAAUAAGCGGUGGGUAAGAGGGGUGGCAGUCGCCACGGGAAUACCCCCGCCGCGAGCAGUGGCCUCGAUUAUUGGGCCUAAAGGGGCCGUAGCCGGACCGAUGUGGCUCCCGUGAAAUCCACGGGCAUAACCCGUGGGCGCGCGGGGGCUACUAUCGGUCUUGGGGACAGGAGAAGCUAGGAGUAUUCCGGGGGGAGCGGUGAAAUGCUGUAAUCCCCGGAGGACUACCCGCGGCGAAAGCGCCUAGCUAUCCUGCUCCCGACGGUGAGGGCCGAAAGCUGGGGGAUCAAAUGGGAUUAGAGACCCCAGUAGUCCCAGCUGUCAACGCUGCGGGCUAUCUGCCGGGAGGGCUUAGAGCCCUUUCGGUGGAGUAGGGAAGCCGUUAAGCCCGCCGCCUGGGGAGUACGGCCGCAAGGCUGAAACUUAAAGGAAUAGGCGGGGGGGCAUACAAGGGGUGGGGUGUGCGGUUUAAUGGGAACUGACACCGGAAACCUUACCGGGGGCAACAGCAGGAUGAAGGUCAGGCUGAAGACCUUACCUGACACGCUGAGAGGAGGUGCAUGGCCGCCGUCAGCUCGUGCCGUGAGGUGUCCUGUUAAGUCAGGAAACGAGCGCGACCCGCGCCCGCCGUUGCGACGGGAGAGAUUUCUCUCCCGGCACACUGCGGGGACUGCCGGGGAAACCCGGAGGAAGGUGCGGGCGACGGCAGGUCCGCAUGCCCCGAAUCCCCCGGGCUACACGCGCGCAACAAUGGGCGGGACAGGGGGAUCCGACCCCGAAAGGGGAAGGUAAUCCCCAAACCCGCUCCCAGUUCAGAUUGCGGGCUGUAACUCGCCCGCAUGACGGCGGAAUCCCUAGUAAUCGGGGGUCACUAUUCCCCCGGUGAAUACGUCCCUGCCCCUUGCACACACCGCCCGU
rnacentral:rRNA from 2 species